UGGCAUAAACAUGAACUUUACUACAUACUGACACGCCAAUUACAUUUAUUUAAAUCAUUAUUGUCAAUGAUCAUGUUUCUGUAACACAAAUGUAUAUUUAAGCAAUAAGGCCAGAUAACUGAACAGACAGAUUUGCCUUGGAAAAUGUGCAGCAGAACUUUUAAGUUAUUUUAUCAAACGAGUAUUGUAACGGUGAACAUACCGAUACUUGGACGAUAAAGCAUGAUGAUGCUGAAUAAUGAUAUUCUAAGAAUUUGUUCUGCACGGAUUUCAAUAGGGAAAGAUUGCGUCCGUAACCCGUUCGUCUCCGCUCGCGUGUAUUGCGUUCGAAACGUUGCUUAGCUGCGCGUCUGGUGUUGAACCUUUGUGACCACAGCAGAAACGGCACCUCAUCACUGUGGCAUCUCUCGGAAGGGAAAGGCACGCCUGUGUCGCCGAACAGGAUGGAGGUGUCAAGGAGGCGGAUCUUACAGAAGCACCUGCAGCCAGCCAGACCACUGCGGCGCUGCAGUACUGACCAGGUCGAUGAGGGGAAGUGAGUGAGUGAGUGCACACUUCAAAGAGAAGGGUAGAGAAUCCAACUGCAGCCAGUGUCCCACUUUCUCUUUAUACAGACCCCUGCUUUAGAAAUGAGCCAUCUGCGUGUGGACAAGCUGGAGAAAAAACAAUUAACAGCAUUGGAGUGGAACAGUUUUUUGAAAUCCUCCAUCUCCAUACGCAGACACCACAAAAAGACUCCACCCCAACUAAAGUGAGGAUAUCUUACACUAGAGACUUCCUGAUUCAACUGGCCAGUUCCCCCAUUGCCAAAAGAAAACCGGAGUUCUUACCAGAACAUCCUGUUGUUUUGGAAAAGGCGAGAGAACCUGGUGUGCCAUGGUUGGAGAAGAGGUUUGAUGGAAACAAUGAAAUGCUUGCCUAGGCUAACAUGGAGCCAGGAAAUCUGGUUGCUGCUGCUGCUUUUCAAACCACACACCACUACAACUUGCUCUGCCAUUGAGUGAUAUACCAACAACAACAAAAAAAUCCCAGUUGAGCCUAGAACACCACAGGCAUGGGAUGCGUCCCAAAUAGCACCCUAUGUCCUAUUUAGUGCACUACUUUUGACCAGGGUCGAUAGGAUUCAGAUCAUAAACAGCCAUGACCAUGAGAGUUGUAAGCGAGAGGUAUAUCUUCUUUUUUUUUUGUUCCUUUGACAAAUGUUGGUUCCUUUGGUGGACACAAACCUGAAAAUGUACCGUAGCCUACAUGUUUUAAAUUGUGUGUUUCAGUCUAAAAUAAUAAUGCGUGGUUGAAUGAUGUGCCUUGAUGCUAACAAAUGCCCCUUGCACUGUGUGAUGUUUACAUAUGGCAUAAUACUAAUAACGCCUCAGUGGAGACCAUUGACUCUGAGUAACCGUACAACGACCUCCCAAGACCAACACUACAUUCAUUUAACCCUUUAACUUUUUCAUAUGUUGGAGUAUGGGUGUUUUAGGUUUGAUAUUGUCACUGAAGAUUGAUUAUUGACUUAUAUCAACUAGUUGAAUGUUGAUGUAUAGGCCUGCUCCAUAACUUGUCUGUGUUCCCCCAUUGAAAACUGUUGCUUGAAAUGAUUCGGCUUCUAAGCCUGCCUUUGCACACUAUCCUUCUGAGGGUCAGUCCUCUAGUCACAUCAAAUAGUACAUCUCUCCCCCACUCCUCUGAGGGUCAGUCCUGUAGUCACAUCAAAUAAUACAUCUCUCCCCCACUCCUCUGAGGGUCAGUCCUGUAGUCACAUCAAAUAGUACAUCUCUCCCCCACUCCUCUGAGGGUCAGUCCUGUAGUCACAUCAAAUAAUACAUCUCUCCCCCACUCCUCUGAGGGUCAGUCCUGUAGUCACAUCAAAUAGUACAUCUCUCCCCCACUUCUCUGAGGGUCAGUCCUGUAGUCACAUCAAAUAGUACAUCUCUCCCCCACUCCUCUGAGGGUCAGUCCUGUAGUCACAUCAAAUAAUACAUCUCUCCCCCACUCCUCUGAGGGUCAGUCCUGUAGUCACAUCAAAUAGUACAUCUCUCCCCCACUCCUCUGAGGGUCAGUCCUGUAGUCACAUCAAAUAGUACAUCUCUCCCCCACUUCUCUGAGGGUCAGUCCUGUAGUCACAUCAAAUAGUACAUCUCUCCCCCACUCCUCUGAGGGUCAGUCCUGUAGUCACAUCAAAUAGUACAUCUCUCCCCCACUCCUCUGAGGGUCAGUCCUGUAGUCACA